UCAGAUUUCAUGCAAAAAUGAAUUAUUCCUCUGUUACCUGAUUUCUAAAGUUUCUAACUAUGACCUGCUUGUCUCCCAUUUUUCUUCAAGAGGGAGGAGAGGAGGCGGGAGGGCAACGUGACGUGUGAACCCUCUCAUGUAAAAGAGAGAGGAGAGGAGAAACAAUUAAAGAAGAGAGGAGAAAACAAAACUAGAAAAACGGAGAGGAGCGGAGGCGGGAGGGCAACAUGACGUGUGAACUCCCUCUCAUGUAAAAGAGAAACACAGAGAUACCGAAGACAGGAGAAAAUGAAACGAGAAGAAAGGAGAGGAGAGGAGGCGGAGGGCGAUAUGAAGAGUGAACCCUCUCAGUCAAAAAGGAAAGAUCAGUUUAAUUCAUAUUAUCUAGAUGAUACACAUGAAUAAUCCAUCUCUUCACCAUUAUUCUCUGAAGAUUUAACUGUUAUUCCCCCUUUACUGCAUUUGUUUUUAUUUUUUUGGAAAGAGAAAAGGAAAAGACAGGAUUUAAGAAGAGACUGAAGAGACGGGAAAAGAAGAGAGG